rnacentral:rRNA from 1 species
GAUGAACGCUGGCGGCGUGCCUAAUACAUGCAAGUCGAGCGAACGGACGAGAAGCUUGCUUCUCUGAUGUUAGCGGCGGACGGGUGAGUAACACGUGGAUAACCUACCUAUAAGACUGGGAAAACUUCGGGAAACCGGAGCUAAUACCAGAUAAUAUUUUGAACCGCAUGGUUCAAAAGUGAAAGACGGUCUUGCUGUCACUUAUAGAUGGAUCCGCGCUGCAUUAGCUAGUUGGUAAGUUAACGGCUUACCAAGGCAACGAUGCAUAGCCGACCUGAGAGGGUGAUCGGCCACACGGGAACUGAGACACGGUCCAGACUCCUACGGUACGCAGCAGUAUGGAAUCUUCCGCAAUGGGCGAAAGCCUGACGGAGCAACGCCGCGUGAGUUAUGAAGGUCUUCGGAUCGUAAAACUCUGUUAUUAGGGAAGAACAUAUGUGUAAGUAACUGUGCACAUCUUGACGGUACCUAAUCAGAAAGCCACGGCUAACUACGUG